rnacentral:rRNA from 1 species
UACGUAGGGGGGCAAGCGUUGUUCGGAAUUACUGGGCGUAAAGCGCACGUAGGCGGCUUUGUAAGUUAGAGGUGAAAGCCCGGGGCUCAACUCCGGAACUGCCUUUAAGACUGCAUCGCUUGAAUCCAGGAGAGGUGAGUGGAAUUCCGAGUGUAGAGGUGAAAUUCGUAGAUAUUCGGAAGAACACCAGUGGCGAAGGCGGCUCACUGGACUGGUAUUGACGCUGAGGUGCGAAAGCGUGGGGAGCAAACAGGG